rnacentral:lncRNA from 1 species
AGCUUCUCAUUGGAAGCUGGUGUUCUGCUAGCUCCUCCUGAAAAUACAAAGUAAGUCACUACUAAAGCAAAACUAAGCAAACAAUAAGGGACUUGAGAAGACGAUAAGUCCGAAACAGUUGAUACCUCUGCUGCUUUGGGGCGUCCCAUUGAACGAAUGACAAACUUCUUGUAGGAUUCCUUCAAUUUAUCUUCGGGUUUUGCAUUCCUAAUUCAUCGGAGACAAAGCAAUUUUAAUCAUAAACCAGAUGAAGGGGGUCAGUAAAUAGGAGGCCAGUCAAUGGAUGAGAACAGGCAGGAUACAUUACUUAGUAUAAGCAGUUUUUUUGUACUAAUAUUAACUGUAUCUUUAGAAAUGAUUCAUGAACAUUGUCUCUUGUGGACAACUAUAUUGAUAUACACUUUUGAGUUUAAGACCAGAAAUUGAUAAUAGAAAAUACUCGUUAAUGGGUAAGAAUACCCAGGAUGGA